rnacentral:lncRNA from 1 species
AAAGAAGUUUAUUGCCAUUGGCAUGAAUCAUCAAUUAUCAUCAUUAUACAAAUCCAUGCACCAUACACCAUCCCUGCAUACAUACAUACAUCCCUCAUCUACCACUGCCAUUACUGAAUAUUAAUAACAUCAAGCUCACGCCAUCGAGGAAAAGGAAAGCCUAGGCUUAAACAUUGGACGGUACAUCUAAGGAACAUAAUAGCAGUAAUACGAACAUCUCACAGGAAACAAACCGAUCUAGAAAAACCAUCUUAUUGGGAGCUCAUCUCACACUCUUUUCUUCCUCAUAGAAGAAACAAGGAAGAAAAAUUUGGAGCUAUUAACUUGUUGUAGCUAAUAC